rnacentral:rRNA from 1 species
UACGUAGGGGGCAAGCGUUAUCCGGAAUUACUGGGUGUAAAGGGUGAGUAGGCGGCAUGGUAAGCCAGAUGUGAAAGCCUUGGGCUUAACCCGAGGAUUGCAUUUGGAACUAUCAAGCUAGAGUACAGGAGAGGAAAGCGGAAUUCCUAGUGUAGCGGUGAAAUGCGUAGAUAUUAGGAGGAACACCAGUGGCGAAGGCGGCCUACUGGACGGUGACUGACGCUGAGGCUCGAAAGCGUGGGGAGCAAACAGG